UACGUAGGGGGCGAGCGUUGUCCGGAUUUAUUGGGCGUAAAGAGCUCGUAGGCGGCUUAGCAAGUCGGGUGUGAAAACUCCAGGCUCAACCUGGAGACGCCACUCGAGACUGCUAUGGCUAGAGUCCGGUAGGGGACCACGGAAUUCCUGGUGUAGCGGUGAAAUGCGCGAUAUCAGGAGGAACACCGGUGGCGAAGGCGGUGGUCUGGGCCGGCACUGACGCUGAGGAGCGAAAGCGU
rnacentral:rRNA from 1 species